rnacentral:rRNA from 1 species
UACGUAGGGGCCGAGCGUUGUCCGGAGUUACUGGGCGUAAAGCGCGCGCAGGCGGCUCGUCAAGCCUGACGUGAAAGCCCCCGGCUCAACCGGGGAGGGUCGUCGGGGACUGGCGGGCUUGAGGUCGGCAGGGGUUGGUGGAAUUCCCGGUGUAGUGGUGAAAUGCGUAGAUAUCGGGAGGAACACCAGUGGCGAAGGCGACUACCUGGCCUGUUCUUGACGCUGAGGCGCGAAAGCUAGGGGAGCAAACGGG